GAGCCUUCGACAACGCCUGGUGGCCAG
rnacentral:sRNA from 1 species